AUUGAACGCUGGCGGCAUGCCUUACACAUGCAAGUCGAACGGCAGCACGGGAGCAAUCCUGGUGGCGAGUGGCGAACGGGUGAGUAAAGUAUCGGAACGUGCCCAGUCGUGGGGGCUAGCGUAGCGAAAGUUACGCUAAUACCGCAUACGACCUAUGGAUGAAAGCGGGGGAUCGCAAGACCUCGCGCGAUUGGAGCGGCCGAUAUCAGAUUAGGUAGUCGGUGGGGUAAAGGCUCACCAAGCCGACGAUCUGUAGCUGGUCUGAGAGGACGACCAGCCACACUGGGACUGAGACACGGCCCAGACUCCUACGGGAGGCAGCAGUGGGGAAUUUUGGACAAUGGGCGAAAGCCUGAUCCAGCCAUGCCGCGUGCAGGAUGAAGGCCUUCGGGUUGUAAACUGCUUUUGUACGGAACGAAAAGGUUUGUGCUAAUAAGCUGAGCUCAUGACGGUACCGUAAGAAUAAGCACCGGCUAACUACGUGCCAGCAGCCGCAGUAA
rnacentral:rRNA from 1 species